GGAGUUGCACAAUUGAGAGAAUUCAGUUUACUGAAGAGGACCGUUUCGAUGCAUCACUGAAGAUGGAUUUUCACUAUAGUACUAUUAAUUUCAGAGAAGCAGACCCGGCUUCCGUGUACUUGAAGACCGACAUUGCCAGUUUUGGUGGUGACUGAUCCAUAAAUUCAGGCUAAAGGAGUACCGGGAUACGUGUACAUGUUUGCAGAUAAAUUCCAGGCGAUAAGCAGAUUCUAGUUACCAGUCUACAGCACGCGCCCGCUCCCCCAGGCUUUGAUCACAUCUAAGAAUACAAUGUCGGAAUAGUCACUGCAGUGUGCCGAAAGCUGGAUACAUCAGUGUCUUCAUUCUCACCAAAAGUGCAACCGAAUAGAUGCAGCUGAAAAAUGGUUUCCAACACGCUUGUUGUUACUUGACUCCUCCAAUCAUGGUCAACACCAUGUGCGUCUAAUCCACACUGCGCAAGAGCAACCCAGUGGACCAUACAGCACCUUGAGCCACCGGUGGGGCGUGGUAGAAAUUCUCAAAUGGGAAAUGAAAAAAACGUAACAAGGUUUCCGUAGGUGAACCUGCGGAAGGAUCAUUACAUAUCAUCCAGUGUGGUCGCGGCCUCCGGGUUCUUCCCGGGCGGUAGGAGGUAACACUCUUCACGCGCCACGCGUUUGAAUCCUUUUUUUACGAGCACCUUUCGUUCUCCUUCGGUGGGGCAACCUGCCGUUGGAACUAUACAAAACCUUUUUUGCAUCUAGCAUUACCUGUUCCGAUAACAAACAAUCGUUACAACUUUCAACAAUGGAUCUCUUGGCUCUGGCAUCGAUGAAGAACGCAGCGAAAUGCGAUAAGUAGUGUGAAUUGCAGAAUUCAGUGAAUCAUCGAAUCUUUGAACGCACAUUGCGCCCCUUGGUAUUCCAUGGGGCAUGCCUGUUCGAGCGUCAUCUACACCCUCAAGCUCUGCUUGGUGUUGGGCGUCUGUCCCGCCUCUGCGCGUGGACUCGCCCCAAAUUCAUUGGCAGCGGUCUUUGCCUCCUCUCGCGCAGCACAUUGCGCUUCUCGAGGUGUCUGCGGGGCCCGCGUCCACGAAGCAUUACCAGUCUUUGACCUCGGAUCAGGUAACAUGCGCAAG
rnacentral:rRNA from 1 species